UUGCAUUAGAAUUAGAAUCUAACUAUACUAAAAUUGCUUAUUCCAACAUACUUAUUACAAUA
rnacentral:tRNA from 4 species